UACGGGGGGAGCAAGCGUUGUUCGGAUUUACUGGGCGUAAAGGGCGCGUAGGCGGCGCAACAAGUCACUUGUGAAAUCUCCGGGCUUAACCCGGAGCGGCCAAGUGAUACUGUCGUGCUAGAGUGCGGAAGGGGCUACUGGAAUUCUUGGUGUAGCGGUGAAAUGCGUAGAUAUCAAGAGGAACACCUGCGGCGAAGGCGGGUUGCUGGGCCGACACUGACGCUGAGGCGCGAAAGCUAGGGGAGCGUACGGG
rnacentral:rRNA from 1 species